AUUGAACGCUGGCGGAAUGCUUUACACAUGCAAGUCGAACGGCAGCACGGACUUCGGUCUGGUGGCGAGUGGCGAACGGGUGAGUAAUGUAUCGGAACGUGCCCAGUCGUGGGGGAUAACGUAGUGAAAAUUACGCUAAUACCGCAUACGAUCUAUGAAUGAAAGCGGGGGAUCGCAAGACCUCGCGCGAUUGGAGCGGCCGAUAUCUGAUUAGGUAGUUGGUGGGGUAAAGGCCCACCAAGCCAACGAUCUAUAGCUGGUCUGAGAGGACGACCAGCCACACUGGAACUGAGACACGGUCCAGACUCCUACGGGAGGCAGCAGUGGGGAAUUUUGGACAAUGGGCGAAAGCCUGAUCCAGCCAUUCCGCGUGCAGGAUGAAGGCCCCCGGGUUGUAAACUGCUUUUGUACAGAACGAAAAGGUUUCUACUAAUACUAGGAGCUCAUGACGGUACUGUAAGAAUAAGCACCGGCUAACUACGUGCCAGCAGCCGCCGUAA
rnacentral:rRNA from 1 species